rnacentral:misc_RNA from 1 species
GAUGAAGAACGCAGUGAAAUGCGAUAACUAGUGUGAAUUGCAGAAUUCCGUGAAUCAUCGAGCCUUUGAACGCACAUUGCGCCCCCUGGUAUUCCGGGGGGCAUGCCUGUCCGAGCGUCAUUGCUGCCCAUCAAGCACGGCUUGUGUGUUGGGUCGUCGUCCCCUCUCCGGGGGGGACGGGCCCCAAAGGCAGCGGCGGCACCGCGUCCGAUCCUCGAGCGUAUGGGGCUUUGUCACCCGCUCUGUAGGCCCGGCAGGCGCUUGCCGAACGCAAAUCAAUCUUUUUCCAGGUUGACCUCGGAUCAGGUAGGGAUACCCGCUGAACUUAAGCAUAUCAAUAAGCGGAGGA